rnacentral:lncRNA from 1 species
GCCCUUCUCCCACUAUCUUCCUCUCUCUCUCUCACACACUCUCUCUCUCUCUCUCUCUCUCUCUCUUUCUCUCUCUCUUCCUGCAUCGAUUUCUUUCCCUCCCUUCGCGUUUUAUAGGGAGGGGAAAAAGGAGUCCUGCACGACCCUUCUUCCUUGACGUGCAGGUUUCCUCUUCUUUCUUUUCGACUAGUGGCAUAGGCACACACACCUCUGCUUCUUCACCUUUCCUAACCAAAGGUAAACACGCCUCUAUUUUUCUUUGCCUAAAAUGGCACCAUUUUGGAGUCUCCCAAAACAACAUCGUUUUAUCUCUUACAUAGACGAUUGUUGUCCGGCCACUCACACAACCCAUCACAACAUUUAGUUUUGUGGAUGGUUUGUCCAAGUCAAUAAAUAAGUAGUAGUAUAUUCAAUAUCCUAGUGUCACACCCAUUCCGACCACAAGUUGGAGAUCCACUUAUGCAACACAUUUAAUAACCUACAGCAGGUUAAUGCAUUACAUAGUAAAGAAAAUUAGCAGAUAAUGUGACAAGGAAAUGAUGUGAAAUCUAACCCAUAUUUGGCUAGUCACACACACAUAACUAUUAACACAACAUGUAGCUUACAAAUGUAAUACACAAUUGUUAAUAAUAAAACAUAUGAGGUACACCAUUUUCACACACUUUUUGGCCACCAGCCGGCCACACACCCACAGAAAGUUGAUCCACACACCAGAAACAACAACCAAUGUUUCCUUAGGAAGGUUUUCGAUUUAACACC